rnacentral:rRNA from 1 species
AUGAACCUCCCUCUGCUCCCACCAAUGCCAUGUACCGAGCUCGCUCUCCUCCUCGAGCCAAAUGCUCCCGCCCAACAACCAGUUUCCUGCCCCAGCGACCUGUCCUCCAUGUAUUGUGGUCUAACAUUUGCCUCGGUAAUCUUUAAUAUAAUUAGAUUUCGCCGCAUGAUGUUCUUUACCCCAGCCGAGCAUAGUGUGCUGCCGCGCCGUCGAUUCCACGAAGUGGGCAGCCCGAGCCGAUUCCCCAAUGUGUCAACGACUACGUCCGCUGCGUGA